CAAUUUUGUCUUCAUAAACAGAUUAUCUGCGUUACAACAGUUCCCUCCAUUGAUCUCAUGGUCCUUUUUGCCACCAAAGAGGUUUGACCCCCAGAGCAGAAGACAAGGGAUGUCAUAUUGUAUCUAUAGGUUCAUCAGCUAAGAUAUGGAGUCCAAGCCAGCUUGAACAGGAUCAUCUGAGGGAGAGAAGAUGAAGAAGAGACUGUCCAAUAUGGUAGUCACCAGUGUCAUACGGCUAUGGAGCCCUAGAACUGCGGCUGACGACAUUGAGAUGUGCUAGAAUGAGAGAACCCUCUGAUGUGGAGUGAGCAGGACCUGAAAUUACUUCCAGAACUAUCCUUGGCACACACCACAAAGCCCCAAAGCU